AGAUCAGAAGAUGAAGACCGGAGAUUCAAGCAAUGACUGAUGAAGAUUAUUGAAGAUGAUUUCCCUUGAAAGUAUGAACUUCUGUGGAAAUAGAAAUAUAUUGUUUAUAUAUAAGUUUGGUGAAUCUCAACGGAUAUAUAUCUGGUAUUAUAUGUUAUGUAAAUAUGUGUAAAAAUAAAGGUAAGUGUAUAAUGUAAAGGGAAGCUUUGACCAACAGGUUGACAAUUUGAACAGAUUUGAUGAAAUAGCCACAAUCUUGACCAAAACACAAGGUGGAAUUGGUCAAGCAUACAUCUCAAACUGCACCAAGAUUAAAAAGAAAAUAGACGCACGUGGAGGGGUUGAAAUUGGUCAACCAGCCUAAUCUUUACCAAUUAAGUAUUGUAGUAGAACUAUCAAGUCAAAUAAUAAUGUCGUUCGGGAGUUGGAACGUCUAUGGAUUAAAUAAUCGUGUGAGAAAGGACGAGGUUAAGAGGUUUGUCAAGAAAAUCAAAUUGGAUCUAUUUGGCCUAUAUGCGACCAAAAUUAACAAGAUCAACUUUGCGUAUUGCAGUAAGAUUUUUGGAUAAAAUUUCUCGAUGAUAUCAAACAAGGCCGAAACAGAACUACGACCAGACUCUAUCUGGUUGGUAUGGGAUGUGAAUACCUGUGAGAUUGAGAUCACUAUUUUGCACGACCAUUUCAUACACUACUUUGCCAAAAACAAAGGGGGGUUAACCAUACAUGUCACAUUAGUUUAUGCCUCAACCGAUUGUCAAAGGAGAGAUAAAACGUGGGACGAGCUGAUAAAACUAAGUAAAACGAUUACUGGACCAUGGAUUCUACCGAGCGACUUCAAUGAGAUCAGAAGUAGGGAAGAUAGGAUAGGAGAACAUGCCACAUUUAAUAUGCAAAACAUAAGGAGAUUCAACCAAGCAAUAGACAAUGCAUGUCAGUUAAGAGAUCUCCGAUCCAUUCGAGGUAACCCAACAACAUGGACAAAUAAAAGAGUAGGAGAACAUAAGAUCAACAGUAGGAUCGAUAAAGGGUUUGGAAAUGUUGAACUCUUCAAUCUAUGACCACUCCGGGGGCACGUCAGACCACCAUAGUUUGACUAUCGACUUUAGGAUCGUUCAAGAGAAGAAAAAGCCUUUCCGGUUCACCAACUCAUGGCUUAAAAAAGAAGAAUUACAAGGGAUAUAAGUCAGAGAUGCCUGGCAGAUUUAGGUAUGGGAGACUCCGAUGUAUAUAUUCACCAAAAAGCUAAACAAUGUGAAAAGGGUACUUAAGAGGUGGAAGACAUCGGAGGACCAAGCAAGGUGGAGGAUCGCCCAGACUGAGAAAGAGAUUCACAAGAAUGAAAGCUUGUUGGAGGAAAGCUCAUUUGAUGCAACAAUACAUGAGAGACUAAGAGGGUGUGUCAGAAACUUAGAAAUCCUAAUACAGGUUCAAGAGAAGGAUGCAAGACAGAGGAGUAUGGCAUAUAUAUUGGCUUCAACUCGGAGACAAGAACACCAAAUUCUUCGCAACCAUGACGAAAAGAGAAAAAAUCUUAACUCCCUAUAUAGGAUGCUAGGGCCCAAUGGAAAGGUGAUGGUCUCGAGAAAUGAGAUGGAGGAGAAGACACUAGAGCACUUAUAUGCCGAGGGCAGGGAGAGUUUGACUAGCACCCCUAGAAAUUUUACAAAUACAGUCAUAGACCAGCAAAAUGCAGAUCUAGAAAAAAUACCUACAUACGAAGAAAUUAAGAAGGUAGUUAUGGACUUAAACCCAAACAAGAGUCCUGGCCCGGAUGGUUUCAAAAAAGCGUUUUUUAGAGUUUUUUGGAGUACCAUGGAGAAGGACCUUGUAAAAGCCAUACAUGGAGGGGGUAUGGACCACUAGCAUUAAGAAAUUUGGCAUAGCACUAUGGAGGGCUAGAUGGGGUAAGAUAUCGAUGAAAGUUGACUGGGCGAGAAGAAGGAGAGGGGGAAACACCGACUGCAUUUUAUGUGGAUGACCAUGAGAGUCGUAAGACCAUGUGUUUUUCAGAUGCAAAUUUUUCAUAGAUUUAUGGUCCUAUAUAUUAAAUGCAAAACCAGAUUUGAUUACAUACACAAGGCUCUCUUUAGAUCAGGUAAUGGCAGAGGUUCACGUCAGAACGAAGAAUACGUCAUGCUGCGACUAACAUGGGCAUACACGGCUGCGACAGUCUUAGGGAUCUGGACCGAAAAAACAAGAGAGUGCAUGAAGACAGAUGCGUGGCCGCAGGAGAUAGGGAGACGGAUAAUACAUGACAUAUCAAACACCUUCAGGAUGAGAAGGUACAAGGCCAGAGAAACGACCCAAGAACAACAACUAGCGGAAACAUGGGUCAGAAGCGCCCAAACGAUUCCAAGUUAAUUUAUUUAUUGUUAGUACGAUCUAUUUGUAAUUUAAAUUCGAUAGGAACUUGUAUUAAAGAACUGCAAUACUUAUGCUAAUGGUGGGUUGGAAUUCAAAAAUAAAAUUCUGACUCACCAAAAAACAUAAAAGGUAAAAUAUGGGAAUUGAAAUGACCCAAAAAGUCAUAUCCAUAGGAGGAUCUAUCUCUUAAAAGAAGAACCUCAUUUGAAAGUAGAAAUGAUGAGUAAUCACUUGUAUAUAGUGGAUCGAAAGGCGAUGACAGAGUUUUCCCUAGGAAAACGGAAAAGAUGUCAGGAGCACACCAGGGUUUUUCACCCCCCAUUGUCUAAAACCUACUAGGUGAGAACGAUGCGACAUAGUUCGUUCUAGGAAACAUCGAGUCGGUCCCCAAAGGUUGCUGAAGGCCUAAACGAUCGUAAGAUCACUUGGCUAGAUAAAUGCGAAAGGUGUGGGGUGGAUCGCAUGUGAUCACACUUUUUUUUUUUGCUUUGAAAUUUAUAUAUAGAUAGUUUUAAUUUAAAAAAAAAGGUUGACAAUGGAUCCGUCUCAUACUCUCAUACAUAAUAAUUAAUUAAUAAGGCUAACAAUUUCAUUUUGUCUUAAUCUUAACUGUGUUUAAAUUUCUUAAUGACAUAAACUAAGGGUGAGCCCUGCCCCGAUGGUAACCGGGGUCGGGGCAAAAUAUCUGCCCCGAAUUUUUAAUUUUUGCCCCGUGCCCCGGUCAUAUUCUGGGACGAGUCUCGGGGCAGGCUCAACCCCGGCCGGGUCGCCCCGUUUUAUAGAUAUAAAUAAAUAUAUUAAUAUAAUAAUAUCCUAUAAAUAUAAUAGUAUAAAUUAUACUAAUAUUCUGGGCCUAUCUAAAAAUACAAACUAAUAUUCUGGUAAAACCUAAUAUCUCCAACUCUCCAUCUUCAUCGUCCCCAAAACGACAAAACCUAAUAUUUAGAAACGGCAAUUGCUCAUCUGAUUCUGAUUCUGGUAAAAAAUGUUUCCAUAUUUCCGUUACAAGUUAUAUUUCCAUAUUUCCAUACAAGUUAUUCAAUAUUUCCGUAAAAAAUGUUGAGGUACCUCUUGGCUCUUUCCAUCGAAAAAAAUGUUGUGUACCUCAGGUUUUUGAAGUUUUCUUUUAGUGUAAACUCAGCGAUUCUGGACUAUAAUACAGGGCAGCCAAAAGAAUUAGAGUUGAUUUUGAUCAUAGGCUAUUUAUAUUUACAUUUCCUCAACGAAAAAAUGUUUGAUCAUAUUCCAGAUCUUUUAAAUAGACAGUUCUCUGUGAAGAGCAUUUUAGCUAAUCUUUGUUGUGGAUGUUUCUGAUGGUUUACUUCUUCUAAU
rnacentral:lncRNA from 1 species